CGCCUGUUCUCAAAAACAUAGCCUAUUGAAUCUUUAUAUUAGGUAAAGCCUGCCCAGUGUAAUUAAACGGCCGCGGUAUCCUGACCGUGCAAAGGUAGCAUAAUAAUUUGUCUUAUAAUUUAAGACUAGAAUGAAUGGCUAAAUGAGAAAUAACCUGUCUCUUUUUUUGACUAAAAAUAUAACUUUAAGUGAAAAUGCUUAAAUUCUCUAAAAAGACAAGAAGACCCUAUAGAGCUUUAUCUAUCUUUCAUAAAAAGUUUUUGCUGGGGCGGCAAGAAAAUAUAAAAAACUUUUCUUCUCAUUUGAUUUUUAAUCUUAAGAUCCCUUUUAGGAAAAAAUAAAAAAGUUACCUUAGGGAUAACAGACUAAUUUUAUUAUAGAGUUCUAAUCKAAAAUAAAGUUUGGCACCUCGAUGUUGGCUUAGGGUCUCUUUUUAUUCCAGAAGAUAAAUAAGAUGGUUUGUUCAACCAUAAAAUCCCUACAUG
rnacentral:rRNA from 1 species